GGAUGUGAGGGCGAUCUGGCUGCGCCCUCUGUCACCCCAUGGAUCGCCAGGGUUGAUUUGGCUGAUCCGGCUGGCCAGGCGGGUGUCCCCUUCCUCCCUCACCGCUCCAUGUGCGUCCCUCCCGAAGCUGCACGCUCGGUCGAAGAGGACAACCUUCCCUGCUAGAGGAGGACCAGUCUUGGGUCAAGGGUCUACAAGUAGCUGCUCUCCCUUGCUAGAACCUCCAAACAAGCUCUCAAGAAUUCACAUUAUUUUGCUUGGCAUAACAUAAAAUCCUAUAGAAAUAUAAUGCAACAUUUCCAAGGAUGUAGCUUUUU
rnacentral:snRNA from 1 species